GUGGGGAAUAUUGGACAAUGGGCGAAAGCCUGAUCCAGCCAUGCCGCGUGUGUGAAGAAGGUCUUCGGAUUGUAACGCACUUUAAGUUGGGAGGAAGGGCAGUAAGUUAAUACCUUGCUGUUUUGACGUUACCGACAGAAUAAGCACCGGCUAACUUCGUGCCAGCAGCCGCGGUAAUACGAAGGGUGCAAGCGUUAAUCGGAAUUACUGGGCGUAAAGCGCGCGUAGGUGGUUUUGUAAGUUGGAGGUGAAAUCCCCGGGCUCAACCUGGGAACUGCCUCCAAAACUGCAUGACUAGAGUACGGUAGAGGGUAGUGGAAUUUCCUGUGUAGCGGUGAAAUGCGUAGAUAUAGGAAGGAACACCAGUGGCGAAGGCGACUACCUGGACUGAUACUGACACUGAGGUGCGAAAGCGUGGGGAGCAAACAGGAUUAGAAACCCUUGUAGUCC
rnacentral:rRNA from 1 species